rnacentral:rRNA from 1 species
AGGGUUCGAUUAUGGCUCAGGAUGAACGCUAGCGGCAGGCUUAACACAUGCAAGUCGAGGGGUAACAGGGAUUGCUUGCAAUCCGCUGACGACCGGCGCACGGGUGCGUAACGCGUAUGCAACCUACCUUUUACAAGGGGAUAGCCCAGAGAAAUUUGGAAUAAUACCCUAUACGAUCAUUAAUUGGCAUCAAUUAAUGAUGAAAACUCCGGUGGUAAAAGAUGGGCAUGCGUCCUAUUAGUUAGUUGGUAAGGUAACGGCUUACCAAGACUUCGAUAGGUAGGGGUCCUGAGAGGGAGAUCCCCCACACUGGUACUGAGACACGGACCAGACUCCUACGGGAGGCAGCAGUGAGGAAUAUUGGACAAUGGAGGCAACUCUGAUCCAGCCAUGCCGCGUGCAGGAAGACGGCCCUACGGGUUGUAAACUGCUCUUAUACAGGAAGAACUAUAUCUACGUGUAGAUAUUUGACGGUACUGUACGAAUAAGGAUCGGCUAACUCCGUGCCAGCCGCCGCGGUAAUAC